rnacentral:tRNA from 1 species
GCCCUGGUGGCCCAAUGGAUAAGGCACUGGCUUCCUAAGAUGGGGUUGUGGGUUUGAGCCCCAUCUGGGGUG